AGUCACUGACAUUAGAUACCCUGUAGUCCAGGGUGUAAACGCUGCAGACUUGGUGUUGGAAGCCCUUUGGGGGCAUUCAGUGCCGGAGAGAAGUUGUUAAGUCUGCUACUUGGGGAGUACGUCCGCAAGGAUGAAACUUAAAGGAAUUGGCGGGGGAGCACCGCAACGGGAGGAGCGUGCGGUUUAAUUGGAUUCAACACCGUAAAACUCACCAGGGAAGACUGUUACAUGAAGGCCGAGAUGAAGACUCUGCUAGAUUUUCAG
rnacentral:rRNA from 1 species